rnacentral:lncRNA from 1 species
UGCAACCUACCAGAGCAUGCCUCUCUCUAGUGACCCACCUCCCCCCAGCCAUGCUCCAGCUGCCCAUACCAGCCAGUCAGUCCAUUCAAACUAGGAUGCACUGAUUUGGUUACAGCUCUCACAAUGCAAUCAUUUCACCUCUGAAUAUUCCUGCACUGACACAGGAGUGUUUUGGGGACAUCUCAAAUAUGCAAACCAUAACACCUUCCCUUGAAGUUCUUUGGCUUCAGGAGCUCCAGGCCUCUGCAGCAGCUUGGCCUGUGCAGAACCCGGUCGAGGGUGGCACCAGGGCUUUUUCAGCCCCCUGGAUCUUCCACCACUUGUUUUCUAGGUGAACCAAAAUGAAAAGAUUAAGCACCACAUCAUUUUAUAUGUGUCACCAAGGCAGGCAGAGGCAAGAAGAGCUGCUUGAGAUAAGGUAUUUUCUUUCCUAAAACAAAACUCCGGAGAUUCAUUGUAGGGUUUCACAUUAAAGCAAAGUGAAGCAGCACAAGUAGGCAGGCAAGCAAACUGUGUUUCUCAAAGCUCAAAGCCUUUAUCCAAGUAGCUUUAAUGAAGCUUUAAAAAGCAACAACCAACAGUGGCAGAAGAUUUAGUUCCAGAAGGGAGCAAUAAAAAAUGAAAUUCAUUGAAGAUUAGAAAUAUUGGAAAACUAGUGGAAAAAAUCAUGGUUAAGUGUGCUUAUCAGAUUACUGGGAAUCUGAGGAAAGAAUCAACCCAUUCGGCUCAAACCCCAUCCCUGAAAUCUAAUUUUCACAUUAAACCAACCGAUUGGGGAGCAGCCUUGGUUUUGCUAGUAUUCUGCUUUUGCAAGAUGGAUUUAUACAUAAAAUGCUGGACCUUGCCCUUUCCUAGUGUAGGCCACCCACAGGGCCCUCAGGAUUUCA